rnacentral:rRNA from 1 species
CCUACGGGUGGCAGCAGUCGAGAAUCAUUCACAAUGGGGGCAACCCUGAUGGUGCGACGCCGCGUGGGGGAAUGCAGGUCUUUGGAUUGUAAACCCCUGUCAUGUGGGAGCAAAUUAAAAAGAUAGUACCACAAGAGGAAGAGACGGCUAACUCUGUGCCAGCAGCCGCGGUAAUACAGAGGUCUCAAGCGUUGUUCGGAAUCACUGGGCGUAAAGCGUGCGUAGGCUGUUUCGUAAGUCGUGUGUGAAAGGCGCGGGCUCAACCCGCGGACGGCAGAUGAUACUGCGAGACUAGAGUAAUGGAGGGGGAACCGGAAUUCUCGGUGUAGCAGUGAAAUGCGUAGAUAUCGAGAGGAACACUCGUGGCGAAGGCGGGUUCCUGGACAUUAACUGACGCUGAGGCACGAAGGCCAGGGGAGCGAAAAGGAUUAGAUACCCGUGUAGUC